GCGCUCACGGUGAGGAAGCCCCGAGCUCCCGGGACGCAGACAGGGUGUGCAGGGCCGUAGCUCGGGCCUGUGUAUGCACGUGUGCGUGUGUUUGACGCCAGGACAAGGCGGCGGUGUGCGCGGCGAGGAGGCUGCGACAGCUGUAUAGACCCCAGCUGCAGUGAAAUGGCCAUCAAAAAGGGAAGGGAUAAUCGAGUGGUGGAAUAAAAUCUGCAAACAGAAAAAGCACAGACCUGUUCUCGGAACGAGGCUUUUCGAGUUACCACCAUGACUGAAGGCUAAGAGCAACUUGCUUGCGGAUUAAAGAUCACUUGGAGAGAGAGGUCCAGUGAGCAACAACGGCCAGAAAUUUCAGGGAGACCAUCUUGAACCAUCCAGCCUCCACCAAGCCAACAGCUGACAGCUGUCACAUGAAUAUGAUCAGCAGAAGAACCACUCAGGCAAGCCAAGCCCAAAUUGCCAAGCCCCCCAAAUAAUGAGCUAAUUAUUUUUUAUUUUAAGCCAUAAACUUUUGAGGUGGUUAUAUAGCAAUAAAUAACUGAAACA